rnacentral:rRNA from 1 species
CAUUAUUGAAAUAAACCUGAUGAGUUGCUGCUGGUUCUCUAGGGAGCAUGUGCACACUUGUCAUYUUUGUAUCUCCACCUGUGAACCUUUUGUAGACCUGGAUAUCUCUCUGAAUGCCUGACGGAUUCGGGUUUGAGGAUUGAUUUUUUCUUUCCUCGAGUUUUCAGGUCUAUGUUUUUUUCAUAUACCCCCAUGUAUGUUUAUAGAAUGUAAUAAACGGGCCUYUGUGCCUAUAAACUUAUACAACUUUCAGCAACGGAUCUCUUGGCUCUCGCAUCGAUGAAGAACGCAGCGAAAUGCGAUAAGUAAUGUGAAUUGCAGAAUUCAGUGAAUCAUCGAAUCUUUGAACGCACCUUGCGCUCCUUGGUAUUCCGAGGAGCAUGCCUGUUUGAGUGUCAUUAAUAUAUCAACCCUCCUCAGCUUUUUGCAUGACGAGUGUUGGAUGUGGGGGUUUUUGCUGGACUCUUUCUCUUGAGGUCAGCUCUCCRGAAAUACAUUAGCAAAACAAUUUGUUUACCGCUCAUUGGUGUGAUAAUUAUCUACGCUAUUGACAGUAAAGCACAGUUUAGCUUAUAACAGUCCAUUGACUUGGACAACCUUUUAUCAAUGUGACCUCAAAUCAGGUAGGAUUACCCGCUGAACUUAAGCAUAUCAAUA